AUUGAACGCUGGCGGCAGGCCUGACACAUGCAAGUCGAACGAGUGGCGGACGGGUGAGUAAUGGCUUGGACUCUGCCUGAUGGAGGGGGAUAACGUCGGGAAACGGUAGCUAAUAGCGCAUAACAUCCGAUGGGCCUAGAUGGGUUUAGCUAGUGGGUGGGGUAACGGCGCACCAAGGCGACGAUCCGUAGCUGGUCUGAGAGGCUGACCAGACAAAAUGGAACUGAGACACGGUCCAGACUCCUACGGGAGGCAGCAGUGGGGAAGAUUGGACAAUGGGCGAAAGCCUGAAGGAGCCAUGCCGCGUGUGUGAAGAAGGUCUUCGGAUAGUAAAGGACUGUCAGUUGGGAGGCGUUACCUACAGAGAAAGCACCGGCUAAAUACGUGCCAGCAGCCGCGGUAAUAC
rnacentral:rRNA from 1 species